rnacentral:rRNA from 1 species
UUCGGGAACUGUGAGACAGGUGCUGCAUGGCUGUCGUCAGCUCGUGUUGUGAAAUGUUGGGUUAAGUCCCGCAACGAGCGCAACCCUUAUCCUUUGUUGCCAGCGGUUAGGCCGGGAACUCAAAGGAGACUGCCAGUGAUAAACUGGAGGAAGGUGGGGAUGACGUCAAGUCAUCAUGGCCCUUACGACCAGGGCUACACACGUGCUACAAUGGCAUAUACAAAGAGAAGCGACCUCGCGAGAGCAAGCGGACCUCAUAAAGUAUGUCGUAGUCCGGAUUGGAGUCUGCAACUCGACUCCAUGAAGUCGGAAUCGCUAGUAAUCGUAGAUCAGAAUGCUACGGUG